rnacentral:lncRNA from 1 species
GGACCAAAAGCCUCACAAGAGACAUCGUAGAAUUUAGGAUUGCAUUUUCCUUUCCGUUUUGCAUUCAUAUAGUCAUAUCCAACGUGCGAUACAUACAUUGGGUAGAAGAUUAGGAAAGGUAAGGUUAAGUCGCGCAACUAGCCUUGGCUAGGUCAAAGGGGUGCCUUGGAUUCUAUCCUUGCCUUCCCCUUUGUCAAACGUGACUCCCGAACCUUUUUCUUUGGCUUACGUGGACUAGGAGUCGUUUUUAAAAGGGUUUUACUACUUUGUCUUUAAAAAUAUUUUUUAGGUGACUUGGUACAUUAAUCAUUACCAAGUGGCGACUCCAAUUUCUCAUUCAAAAACCCUUUUUAAAAACUAUUUUUUGGGUCAAAUCGUCGCUUUUUCAAGUCCCAUAUUAGACCCAUAUCUUUUUCAACUCACAAAAAUCAUUUUCCAAUCAAAAUUGAAUCAAAAAACAUCUUUCUCAAACCAUUUAUUUUUAUUUAUCAAAAAAUGGGGCGCGACAGUUGGCGACUCCACUGGGGACUUCCUAAGUGGGUCCAAGCAUUUUUGACUUAACCAUUUGUUUCCUUUUUCUACCCUUUCUAUGCAUGGCAUGUGGAUAUUAGGAUGGCAUUUUUCAUUUUUAGGACCUUUUGUCUUAUAUACGUAAUCAAACCAAUCCCUCGACUC